GAUGGUUCAUAUUCGGAAUCAUGAAUUAAAGAAUUAAUUAGCUUAUGUUAGACAUGCAUUCUGCCAUAUUUUUUUAACAAUUAUUAUAUAGUGUAUGCUGACUAGAAGUCUAGAAAAAUUUGGUAAGUAAUUUUUUACUAACAAAGUGUGUGGCUCAUAAAUUGUUGCUCGUGAUUAAUAAAGACACUAGAACUUAUAAUUAGAUGUUUGCAUGCAAUUAGUACACUUACUUCUAAUUUUACAUGUUUUGAAUCGGACACUUUGGGGUGAUUAGAGACAAUGAUCACCACCAAUGUUGUAUUUCUUCUCUUCUCAGGAAUAAGACAUGUGGUUUGAUGACUAAUGUCAAUUUUUCCCACUUGUAGUAGUAGAAGAGACGGUAGGGAUGGAAGUGCGAGUUUUGAAAAAUAAUUUGGAGCCAGUUGUUGUGCUAGUGGUGAUCAUGGAAUCAGCGAAUUAAUCAGUUGAGCUGAUGUGUGAGGAUCUAAAAGAUGAGGAUGUAAAGCCCCUAUCUCCUCAGAAGCUUGAUUCCUUAGAAAAUGAUGACCUUGAACUUGGAUAUGGAUAUGCUGGUAUCCUUUCCAAAAUUUUGGACCUAGCAACAUUUUGAGGUGGGGGGCUUGCAAGGUUCAUUGGUAUCUGCUUAAUUGUGGUGGUUGUUGCAAUUGCGGAGGGGACUCUUGAAGGUGGGCUAUUUGGAGAUCUUUCCUUCAUGUGUCCUGAGUUUAUGCAGUGCAAGGUUCAGUUUUUUACUUGAUGAAGAGUUAACGGAAGUUGCUGCAAGUGAUGAGGUCAGAGCUGCUAUUGUAUAUAAGAUUAGCAUGGAGCACAUUGGCGAAGAAGUAUGUUAAUUAUUUGGUUAUUUUUGAAAACAAUGUGGUAUGCUUCAAGGUAUUUGUUGUUGCCUGCUAAAUAUUUGUGCAGAUUGAUCUAAUUGAUAAACAGACGAAUUAUUGUAAAUGAAAAUUAAAGUAAUACCUGUAU